rnacentral:rRNA from 1 species
AAAUGAAUUGACGGGACCCCGCACAAGCGGUGGAUUAUGUUGUUUAAUUCGACGCAACGCGAAGAACCUUACCAGGCCUUGACAUACUCGGCAAAGCUCUAGAGAUAGAGUGGAGGUUAUCCGGGAUACAGGUGGUGCAUGGUUGUCGUCAGCUCGUGUCGUGAGAUGUUGGGUUAAGUCCCGCAACGAGCGCAACCCUUGUCUUUAGUUACCAUCAUUAAGUUGGGGACUCUAGAGAGACUGCCGGUGAUAAACCGGAGGAAGGUGGGGAUGACGUCAAAUCAUCAUGCCCCUUAUGGCCUGGGCUACAAACGUAAUACAAUGGCGUAUACAAAGGGAUGCGAAAGGGCGACCUGGAGCAAAACUCACAAAGUACGUCUCAGUUCAGAUUGGAGUCUGCAACUCGACUCCAUGAAGGCGGAAUCGCUAGUAAUCGCGGAUCAGCAUGCCGCGGUGAAUACGUUCUCGGGGUUUGUACACACCGCCCGU